AUCAGGAUCGCCUGCUGGUAACAAGUGAAUUUGAUUCAUCACGGUUUGACGAGGGAUUUCCUCCCUAGAUUCUGGGGGUUGCAUCCUUGCCUGGUCUCUCUUUAACCGUGCGAUUUCCUCUUCAUGGGCCCGGAUCCUUUCCUCAUAAGUUAUUGGCCCCCGGGGCUCAUUAGCUUCUUGUCUAUGGCGACGUCGACGGUGCCGAG
rnacentral:lncRNA from 1 species